rnacentral:misc_RNA from 1 species
UGUGCUCCUGAGACGCGGACC